rnacentral:rRNA from 1 species
UACGAAGGGAGCUAGCGUUGUUCGGAAUCACUGGGCGUAAAGCGCACGUAGGCGGAUGUGUCAGUCAGGGGUGAAAUCCCGGAGCUCAACUUCGGAACUGCCUUUGAUACAGCACAUCUGGAGUCCGGAAGAGGUGGGUGGAAUUCCUAGUGUAGAGGUGAAAUUCGUAGAUAUUAGGAAGAACACCAGUGGCGAAGGCGACUACCUGGCCUGUUCUUGACGCUGAGGCGCGAAAGCUGGGGGAGCAAACGGG